UUUUUAUGGAGAGUUUGAUCCUGGCUCAGGACGAACGCUGGCGGCGUGCCUAACACAUGCAAGUCGAACGGAAUUUCGCGGGUUCGAGGUUCGAGAAUUCGAGGAUCGAAGUACUAACAUUAAAAUCGAACUUCGAGCAAUCGAACCUCGAACUAGCGAAUUCAGUGGCGAACGGGUGAGUAACGCGUAGACAACCUGCCUCUAAGCUGGGGACAACACCGCGAAAGUGGUGCUAAUACCGGAUGUGGUAUCUUGGUCGCAUGACUGAGAUAAGAAAGAUGGCCUCUUUACAAUGCUAUCGAUUAGAGAUGGGUCUGCGUCUGAUUAGCUGGUUGGCGGGGUAACGGCCCACCAAGGCGACGAUCAGUAGCCGGUCUGAGAGGAUGAACGGCCACACUGGGACUGAGACACGGCCCAGACUCCUACGGGAGGCAGCAGUGGGGAAUCUUCCGCAAUGGACGAAAGUCUGACGGAGCAACGCCGCGUGAGUGAAGAAGGUUUUC
rnacentral:rRNA from 1 species